rnacentral:rRNA from 1 species
UACGGAGGGUGCAAGCGUUAUCCGGAUUCACUGGGUUUAAAGGGUGCGUAGGAGGGCAGGUAAGUCAGUGGUGAAAUCUCCAAGCUUAACUUGGAACUGCCGUUGAUACUAUCUGUCUUGAAUAUUUGUGGAGGUGAGCGGAAUAUGUCAUGUAGCGGUGAAAUGCUUAGAUAUGACAUAGAACACCAAAUUGCGAAGGCAGCUCGCUACACAUAUAUUGACUCUGAGGCACGAAAGCGUGGGGAUCAAACAGG